rnacentral:rRNA from 1 species
UACGUAGGGUGCGAGCGUUGUCCGGAAUUAUUGGGCGUAAAGAGCUCGUAGGUGGUCCGUCACGUCGGGCGUGAAAAUCCAGGGCUCAACCCUGGACGUGCGCUCGAUACGGGCGGACUAGAGUUCGGUAGGGGAGACUGGAAUUCCUGGUGUAGCGGUGGAAUGCGCAGAGUAUCAGGAGGAACACCGGUGGCGAAGGCGGGUCUCUGGGCCGAUGACUGACACUGAGGAGCGAAAGCGUGGGGAGCGAACGGG